CCACGGCAAAUGGAUCAUAAAG
rnacentral:snRNA from 1 species